rnacentral:lncRNA from 1 species
AGUACCAGGAUUCUUUGGGCGGUGAGUGCCAGAGGGCCCCAGUCACCCAGAACCCCCACCCCGAGUCAAAGCGCUGAAAUGAGCCCCGCGGCAGGACACGAGAUGACCAAGGUUUCACAUAAUAAUGGUAAUUCAGUUCUGCACAUUAGCUCUCCCUGCCAUCAUCCAUCCGGUUCAUAGAAGUGGACAGGAUAUGAGGAAGGCUUCAGUGAUCACUGUCCUAGCCAGAUUCUGCCCCAGGACCACAAGCUUAAACUCCAGAUGCCCAAGCCCCGGCUUAUAAAUGGUUCCCCUCGCCAUGUUUCCCAAGCUGUGGAGGAGUGGGAAGGUUGAGUGGAGGAAGGGAUAUCUGCCUCCAACCACGCUAGACCCGACCUGCUGUCACCGCCCGCCCCAGCUGGAUCCAGAAUGGAAACCUGGAAUAGCAGGCAAAGCCACCCCCGACACUCCAUGUUCCUCCCCAGAACCAGCUCCCUCUCCUACCAGCUGAAUUUUCAGGACAGAGCUGCCAGGUGGCCAGUCCACAGGUGGAAGUGGAAGGAGAUUGAAAGGACCUGGGAAGAGGUUCAUUGGUCAUGGUGCCUGGCUGGUGCUUUCCAAAGCCAAGGUUGCUGGUGUGUGCCUGACAGUUCCAUAGGAAGUAGGGACUUCUGGGAGGGAGGAGGAGGUGGAAGGUGCCCUGGUCAGCAAAGUGGGGUCCAAGCCUUCUAGUCCCAACUGGGCACAUCACUUCAUCUCUGAGAGUCUCAUUUUCUUCAGCCACAACUAAUGAACAAAGUCUCCUUCAGCUCCCAAAUCCGAAUAGCUUUAAGGAUAUCCCCUGCUUGCUGCUUGUUAUUAUGUCAGGCCCUGUGCUAAGCGCUUUGCAUAUAUUACCUCAUUUAAUCCCCAUUUUGGAAGUCAGGAAACAGCCUCUGAGACAUUUUGUAACUUAGCUAAGGUCACUCAGUUGACAAAUAGUGAAGUGAUGGGAUUCAGUAGCCUCUGCUGCUAGCCACUGCCUCAGGGCAGGUAAUUAUUUCUAUGAAUUCAGCAGGGCCAAGCCAACUAGACUAAGCAAAAGAAAUGAGGAUCCAAAAAAAUUCAUGCGCUUUUUCAUGCGCGGUGAAUGCAGGAAAAGUCAUAUAUAUAUAUGGCUAUGUAAAUCAGCAACUGCAAUAUUUGAAUCAGCAUGAAUAAAAAACCAUUCCUCUGUCUCUUAAAAAAAUAGGCAGAUCUGUUUUCUUCUUCCUCAUUUCUAUCUGAGCCUCUGUACCAAGGAGAAACGGGAAUAAGACAGGACUAGAUUCUUCCCAAACACCAGGUGAUGCGGUCAGUGAGGAGAGCUCCAGAAUCAAAAGAUGAAGAAGGACCUGCCUCUAGCCCCCAAGAGGUAUGCUGUUCUUCCCACACAUCUCAGCUCUCUCCCAGCACUGAGUCCAGCCCUCCACAGAAAGGGGAGGAAAAUGCCCACCCCUAGCCCUGCCCUUCCCCAACCCUCCACACAUCACUCCUUCUUCUUCCUGCCCUCCUGCACAGUCUGAUAAUGGUGCUCUCUCUUGCUCAGCCCUUUAGCCCUGCAGACCUAGGACAGGGCAUGACUUGGGAAGGCUCCUGUGCACAGGGUGCACUGGAGGAGGUGCCCCAGGCCCUGGGCCAUGGAGAUAAUUGUGUAUCUGCUUCUCUUUUACCUUUUGGGUGGGUAGCCUCUCCUUUUUUAAGGGACACUGACUUCAACCAUGUCUACUAAUCCCUCAGUAUGGCUCCCUGGGCACUCAAGAGCAACAGUUCCAGGCAGGGACCCCCACAUCCUACUCUAAUUACUACUGCAGACACAGAGGAGACCAAUUCCAUUCCUUCCCUGGCCUCUUGGAUUCUUUGUUUACUCACCUCUUUCCA